GACGAACGCUGGCGGCGUGCUUAACACAUGCAAGUCGAACGAAGAGCGAUGGAAGCUUGCUUCUAUCAAUCUUAGUGGCGAACGGGUGAGUAACGCGUAAUCAACCUGCCCUUCAGAGGGGGACAACAGUUGGAAACGACUGCUAAUACCGCAUACGAUCUAAUCUCGGCAUCGAGGAUAGAUGAAAGGUGGCUUCUACAUGUAAGCUAUCACUGAAGGAGGGGAUUGCGUCUGAUUAGCUAGUUGGAGGGGUAACGGCCCACCAAGGCGAUGAUCAGUAGCCGGUCUGAGAGGAUGAACGGCCACAUUGGGACUGAGACACGGCCCAGACUCCUACGGGAGGCAGCAGUGGGGAAUCUUCCGCAAUGGACGAAAGUCUGACGGAGCAACGCCGCGUGAGUGAUGACGGCCUUCGGGUUGUAAAGCUCUGUUAAUCGGGACGAAAGGCCUUCUUGCGAAUAGUGAGAAGGAUUGACGGUACCGGAAUAGAAAGCCACGGCUAACUACGUG
rnacentral:rRNA from 1 species